rnacentral:rRNA from 1 species
UGGGGAAUAUUGCACAAUGGGCGCAAGCCUGAUGCAGCCAUGCCGCGUGUAUGAAGAAGGCCUUCGGGUUGUAAAGUACUUUCAGUCGGGAGGAAGGUGGUAAGGUUAAUAACCUUAUCAAUUGACGUUACCGACAGAAGAAGCACCGGCUAACUCCGUGCCAGCAGCCGCGGUAAUACGGAGGGUGCAAGCGUUAAUCGGAAUUACUGGGCGUAAAGCGCACGCAGGCGGUUGAUUGAGUCAGAUGUGAAAUCCCCGGGCUUAACCCGGGAAUUGCAUCCGAUACUGGUCAGCUAGAGUCUUGUAGAGGGGGGUAGAAUUCCAUGUGUAGCGGUGAAAUGCGUAGAGAUGUGGAGGAAUACCGGUGGCGAAGGCGGCCCCCUGGACAAAGACUGACGCUCAGGUGCGAAAGCGUGGGGAGCAAACAGG